CGGCAACAGCUCAGAUUUGAAAUCUGGCCUUCGGGUCCGAGUUGUAAUCUGUAGAGGAUGCUUCGGGUGCGGUACCUUCCGAGUUCCCUGGAACGGGACGCCUUAGAGGGUGAGAGCCCCGUACGGUUGGACGCCUAGCCUCUGUAAAGCUCCUUCGAC
rnacentral:rRNA from 1 species